rnacentral:rRNA from 1 species
GAAACGACUGCUAAGACUGGAUAGGAAAAGUAAGGGCAUCUUUACUUUUUUAAAAGACCUUCUUUGAAGGUAUGCUUAAGGAGGGGCUUGCGACACAUUAGUUAGUUGGCAGGGUAAAGGCCUACCAAGACUAUGAUGUGUAGCUGGACUGAGAGGUUGAACAUCCACAUUGGGACUGAGACACGGCCCAAACUCCUACGGGAGGCAGCAGUAGGGAAUUUUCGGCAAUGGAGGAAACUCUGACCGAGCAACGCCGCGUGAACGAUGAAGUACCUCGGUAUGUAAAGUUCUUUUAUUAAGGAAGAAAAAAGAGUGGAAAAACUCCCUUGACGGUACUUAAUGAAUAAGCCCCGGCUAAUUAUGUGCCAGCAGCCGCGGUAAUACAUAAGGGGCGAGCGUUAUCCGGAAUUAUUGGGCGUAAAGGGUGCGUAGGCGGUUUAAUAAGUCUAUAGUUUAAUUUCAGCGCUUAACGCUGUUGUGCUAUAGAAACUGUUUUACUAGAGUGAGUUAGAGGCAAGCGGAAUUCCAUGUGUAGCGGUAAAAUGCGUAAAUAUAUGGAGGAACACCAGAGGCGUAGGCGGCUUGCUGGGACUUUACUGACGCUGAGGCACGAAAGCGUGGGGAGCAAACAGGAUUAGAUACCCUGGUAGUCCACGCCGUAAACGAUGAGUACUAAGUGUCGGGUAAAACCGGUACUGAAGUUAACACAUUAAGUACUCCGCCUGAGUAGUACGUACGCAAGUAUGAAACUUAAAGGAAUUGACGGGACUCCGCACAAGCGGUGGAUCAUGUUGUUUAAUUCGAAGAUACACGAAAAACCUUACCAGGUCUUGACAUUUUCUUGCGAAGUUAUAGAAAUAUAAUGAAGGUUAUCAGGAAAACAGGUGGUGCAUGGUUGUCGUCAGCUCGUGUCGUGAGAUGUUAGGUUAAGUUCUAAAACGAGCGCAACCCUUGUCGUUAAUUGCCAGCAUGUAAUGAUGGGGACUUUAACGAGACUGCCAAUGAAAAAUUGGAGGAAGGUGGGGAUUACGUCAAAUCAUCAUGCCCCUUAUGAUCUGGGCUACAAACGUGAUACAAUGGUUGAUACAAAGAGUAGCUGAAACGCGAGUUCUUAGCCAAUCUCACAAAAUCAAUCUCAGUUCGGAUUGAAGUCUGCAACUCGACUUCAUGAAGUUGGAAUCGCUAGUAAUCGCGAAUCAGCAUGUCGCGGUGAAUACGUUCUCGGGGUUUGUACACACCGCCCGUCA